rnacentral:rRNA from 1 species
CUCUUUCGGCCGGGAAGAAAUACGUGUUCUCUAACAUAGGACAUGGAUGACGUACCGGACUAAGAAGCACCGGCUAACUACGUGCCAGCAGCCGCGGUAAUACGUAGGGUGCGAGCGUUAAUCGGAAUUACUGGGCGUAAAGCGUGCGCAGGCGGUUUUGUAAGACAGAUGUGAAAUCCCCGGGCUUAACCUGGGAACUGCGUUUGUGACUGCAAGGCUAGAGUACGGCAGAGGGGGGUGGAAUUCCUGGUGUAGCAGUGAAAUGCGUAGAUAUCAGGAGGAACACCGAUGGCGAAGGCAGCCCCCUGGGCCUGUACUGACGCUCAUGCACGAAAGCGUGGGGAGCAAACAGGAUUAGAUACCCUGGUAGUCCACGCCCUAAACGAUGUCGACUAGUCGUUCGGAGCAGCAAUGCACUGAGUGACGCAGCUAACGCGUGAAGUCGACCGCCUGGGGAGUACGGCCGCAAGGUUAAAACUCAAAGGAAUUGACGGGGA